GAUAUUGUUCGUAGUGUAGCGAACAUGAUAAUCAAAAAAAAUACACGGUUAAGA
rnacentral:sRNA from 12 species